CUCCUACGGGAGGCAGCAGUGGGGAAUAUUGGACAAUGGGGGCAACCCUGAUCCAGCAAUGCCGCGUGUGUGAAGAAGGUCUUCGGAUUGUAAAGCACUUUCACUAGGGAAGAUGAUGACGGUACCUAGAGAAGAAGCCCCGGCUAACUUCGUGCCAGCAGCCGCGGUAAU
rnacentral:rRNA from 1 species